rnacentral:rRNA from 1 species
ACUCCUACGGGAGGCUGCAGUGGGGAAUAUUGCACAAUGGGCGCAAGCCUGAUGCAGCGACGCCGCGUGGGGGAUGAAGGCCUUCGGGUUGUAAACUCCUUUCGCUAGGGACGAAGCUUUUUUGUGACGGUACCUAGAUAAGAAGCACCGGCUAACUACGUGCCAGCAGCCGCGGUAAUACGUAGGGUGCGAGCGUUGUCCGGAAUUACUGGGCGUAAAGGGCUCGUAGGUGGUUUGUCGCGUCGUCUGUGAAAUUCUGGGGCUUAACUCCGGGCGUGCAGGCGAUACGGGCAUAACUUGAGUGCUGUAGGGGUAACUGGAAUUCCUGGUGUAGCGGUGAAAUGCGCAGAUAUCAGGGAGGAACACCGAUGGCGAAGGCAGGUUACUGGGCAGUUACUGACGCUGAGGAGCGAAAGCAUGGGUAGCGAACAGGAUUAGAUACCCUGGUAGUCCAUGCCGUAAACGGUGGGCGCUAGGUGUGAGGGUCUUUCUACGACUUUCGUGCCGUAGCUAACGCAUUAAGCGCCCCGCCUGGGGAGUACGGCCGCAAGGCUAAAACUCAAAGGAAUUGACGGGGGCCCGCACAAGCGGCGGAGCAUGUGGAUUAAUUCGAUGCAACGCGAAGAACCUUACCUGGGCUUGACAUACACUAGAUCGCUGCAGAGAUGUAGUUUCCCUUUGUGGUUGGUGUACAGGUGAUGCAUGGAUGUCGUCAGCUCGUGA